ensembl:snRNA U6 U6 spliceosomal RNA
UUGUACUCACUUUGGCUGCAUAUAUUUUAAAAGUAGAACAAUACAGAGAAGAUUAACCUGGCCCCUGUACAAAGAUGGCAUGCAGAUUGGGAAGCGUUCCCUAUUUUU